rnacentral:sRNA from 1 species
GAAAAUGUCAAAAGAAAAUAGAAAGGACGCACGAAAUGACAACACAACAGAUAUAGUGGUCGUUACAAAGUCAGCUAUUUUUAUGUAGCCAGUGAAAUUAAAAUAGUUGGGAAAGGCUCAAACUAAAUGCGUGCUAAAAAUGUUAAUUGUGGUCGUUGUUUGUCAUUGUUGCAUGUAGGUAUCAACCAAUACAAAUGCCCAAGGCGACAAAAGCAAAAUCCUAACGUACACAAGUAAAAGAAAGAUAUGCCAAACAUGGAAAUCCAUUUGUGAAACAAAUGUCUUAAAACAAUUACAAAAGUUUUUUGUCUGUGUGCCAGUUGUGGAAGUUUCCUGGCGCUGACAAAAUGUAUAUAGAUGCUGAAAUCUAAUGUGUCUUCCGUAGAAGCCACUUUGCUUUUAUAUUGCCUAGUGGCAACAAGAAGUAUGUUCAAAAAAUGUCCAUUGAGAUUGGAUUGUCUAUGAAAGCCGCAAAAGCCUGUAUAAAAUAUGUGCAAAAAAAUUACGAAUGGACGCUGGAAAGUCCACGAUAAAUUGUCAAAUCACCUUAUUCCUUAUUGCACCUUGUGCCUAAUUGGGUGCAAUUGCCGUCUCUGCCUAUUUAUCGCCAUAAUUGCUGUAUUGCCUCAAAAAAAUGUUCGAAGGUAGCAGGUAAAAAAAAUCUAUGUGUGAAUACCAUCUUACGAUGCCCAUACCAAAUGAUGCACACGCAUGUCUGUCCGUCAGAGCUAACAACACAAUCAAAUACCAAAGGAUCUGUAAUGCGAAGAUAAGUAUUUUUUUUUUUUUGAAAUUCAUCUAUUGGAAUAUUCUAAUUCGUUUUCUUCUCUUUUCAGGUAAUCUAUCGCAUACAUUUUCUAAUCUAUUUCUUUCCUUUCUAAAUUUCAGGUCAAUAAUGGGCAACAUCUAGUAUGCUGCUAUGAUCUGACAUCUAUAAAAUAAUUGCAACCUUAUUGUGACAAGAGUCAUUGAUAAGGGCAAUAUACAUAGGUGUGAUGGCUGAAAUCUUGUAACGGAUCAAGUGAUAAUGGAGAAUGGUGUAAAAAUAUGUUUUUGGCUUUAAGAAUUAUUUUUAAUUUAACAAUUUA